rnacentral:rRNA from 1 species
UCCGUAGGGGGUCUGCCAAGUCUGAUGUGAAAGCCCGCGGCUCAACCGCGGAACUGCAUUGGAUACUGGCGGACUGGAGUCUGCGAGGGGUGAGCGGAAUUCCUGGUGUAGCGGUGGAAUGCGUAGAUAUCAGGAAGAACGCCGAUGGCGAAGGCAGCUCACUGGCGCAGUACUGACCCUGAGGGACGAAAGCGUGGGGAGCAAACAGGAUUAGAUACCCUGGUAGUCC